rnacentral:rRNA from 1 species
UACGGGGGGGGCAAGCGUUGUUCGGAAUUACUGGGCGUAAAGGGUUCGUAGGUGGCCAACUAAGUCAGACGUGAAAUCCCUCGGCUCAACCGGGGAACUGCGUCUGAUACUGGUUGGCUUGAAUUCGGGAGAGGGAUGCAGAAUUCCAGGUGUAGCGGUGAAAUGCGUAGAUAUCUGGAGGAAUACCGGUGGCGAAGGCGGCAUCCUGGACCGAGAUUGACACUGAGGAGCGAAAGCCAGGGGAGCAAACGGG